CCAUGGCCAUGCAGAAGGAGGUGGUGGAGACACAGUGCUACCACACCAGGCUGUGUCUGUCCUCUCCUGCAGAUGCUUUCCUCACCUAAUAUGUUCAAGGAAUAACCCAUAAUAUGGAGAAAACCAAACCCGAGAAAAGAAAACAAUGAAAUGGGCAAAGGUAUAAUAAUCAAUUCAUCACAUUUGAGUUUGCUGCAGAGAACUGAUGUCAGUUUUUGUGCAGAUACUUCAGCCAGGAUAACCCCCUGAGACCACAGAGAAAGCCCUCUGUAGUAUGCACCUGAAAAAUUAGAGAAAGGGGAGAAAACCUACAGACAUUGUUACUUUGUUUCAGUCUGACCAUAAUUCCCUUUUUGGGGAAUUUGGUCU